AUUCAGCUGACGAGUCCCAAAUAGAACGAAACGCGCGUCAAACUAGAU
rnacentral:hammerhead_ribozyme from 1 species